GGGAGUCUCGCGGCUGCGAGGGGCGGCAGGGGCCCUUCCGGCCGCGCCCCACCCCGCCCCGGGGUCCCUGCGCAGUUAGGAGAGCCGGGCGGGAAAGGCACCUCCCAACUACAGACGCACAAGACUGGAAAGAGAAAAGAUGGCCUUUGAGGGUGCCAGGCUCAGCAUGAGAAACAGGAGGAACGGCACGCCGGACAGCACGCGGACCCUGUACUCCAGCGCAUCUCGGAGCACAGACGUGUCCUACAGCGAGAGCGACUUAGUGAAUUUUAUUCAAGCAAAUUUUAAGAAACGGGAAUGUGUCUUCUUUACCAAAGAUUCCAAGGCCACGGAAAGUGUGUGCAAGUGUGGCUACGCCCGGAGCCAGCACAUAGAAGGCACCCAGACCAGCCACAGCGAGAAAUGGAAUUACAAGAAGCACACCAAGGAGUUUCCAACCGAUGCCUUUGGGGAUAUUCAGUUUGAGACUCUGGGGAAGAAAGGGAAGUAUAUCCGACUGUCCUGUGACACGGACGCGGAAACCCUGUACGAGCUGCUGACCCAGCACUGGCACCUGAAGACGCCCAACCUGGUCAUCUCCGUGACCGGCUGCGCCAGAAACUUCGCCCUGAAGCCGCGCAUGCGCAAGAUCUUCAGCCGCCUGAUUUACAUCGCGCAGUCCAAAGGUGCUUGGAUCCUCACUGGGGGUACCCACUAUGGCCUGAUGAAGUACAUCGGGGAGGUGGUGAGAGAUAACACCAUCAGCAGGAAUUCGGAGGAGAACAUCGUGGCCAUCGGCAUAGCAGCCUGGGGCAUGGUCUCCAACCGGGACACACUCAUCAGGAAUUGUGAUGCUGAGGGCUAUUUUUCAGCUCAGUACAUUAUGGAUGACUUUAAGAGAGACCCCCUGUACAUCCUGGACAACAAUCACACCCAUCUGCUGCUCGUGGACAAUGGCUGCCACGGGCAUCCCACCGUGGAAGCGAAGCUCCGCAAUCAGCUAGAGAAGUACAUCUCUGAGCGCACUAUUCAAGAUUCCAACUACGGCGGCAAGAUCCCCAUUGUGUGUUUUGCCCAAGGAGGUGGAAAAGAGACUUUGAAGGCCAUCAAUACCUCGAUCAAGAGUAAAAUUCCCUGUGUGGUGGUGGAAGGCUCGGGGCAGAUAGUGGAUGUGAUCGCAAGCCUGGUGGAGGUGGAGGACGUCCUGACAUCUUCCAUCAUCAAGGAAAAGUUGGUGCGCUUCUUACCCCGCACCGUGUCCCGGCUGCCCGAGGAAGAAACAGAGAGUUGGAUCAAAUGGCUCAGAGAAAUUCUUGAAAGUUCCCACCUCUUAACAAUUAUUAAAAUGGAAGAAGCUGGGGAUGAAACUGUGAGCAAUGCCAUUUCCUAUGCUUUGUACAAAGCCUUUAGCACCAACGAACAAGAUAGGGACAACUGGAGUGCCCAGCUGAAGCUGCUGCUGGAAUGGAACCAGCUGGACCUGGCCAGUGAUGAGAUCUUCACCAAUGACCGCCGGUGGGAGUCCGCUGACCUUCAAGAAGUCAUGUUCACGGCUCUCAUAAAGGACAGACCCAAGUUCGUCCGCCUCUUCCUGGAGAACGGCUUGAACCUGCGCAAGUUUCUCACCAACGACGUCCUCACUGAACUCUUCUCCCACCACUUCAGCACCCUCGUGUAUCGGAACCUGCAGAUCGCCAAGAAUUCCUAUAAUGACGCCCUCCUCACGUUUGUCUGGAAAUUGGUGGCCAACUUCCGAAGAGGCUUCCGGAAGGAAGACAGAAACAGCAGGGACGAGAUAGACAUAGAACUUCACGAUGUGUCUCCUAUUACUCGGCACCCGCUGCAGGCACUCUUCAUCUGGGCCAUUCUUCAGAACAAGAAGGAACUGUCCAAAGUCAUUUGGGAGCAGACCAAGGGCUGUACCCUGGCAGCCCUGGGAGCCAGCAAGCUUCUGAAGACACUGGCCAAGGUGAAGAAUGACAUCAAUGCUGCUGGGGAGUCUGAGGAGCUGGCGAAUGAGUACGAGACCCAUGCAGUCGAGCUCUUCACGGAGUGUUACAGCAGUGACGAGGGCUUGGCAGAGCAGCUGCUGGUCUACUCCUGUGAAGCCUGGGGUCGAAGCAGCUGCUUGGAGCUGGCGGUGGAGGCGACGGACCAGCAUUUCAUCGCGCAGCCUGGGGUCCAGAAUUUCCUUUCCAAGCAAUGGUAUGGAGAGAUUUCCCGGGACACCAAGAAUUGGAAGAUUAUCCUGUGUCUGUUUAUGAUUCCCUUGGUUGGCUGUGGCUUUGUAUCGUUUAGGAGGAAGCCAGUGGACAAGCACAAGAGGCUGCUGUGGUCCUACGUGGCGUUCUUCACCUCCCCAUUUGUGGUCUUCUCCUGGAACGUGGUCUUCUACAUUGCCUUCCUUCUGCUCUUCGCCUACGUGCUCCUCAUGGAUUUUCACCCCGUGCCGCAGCCCCCCGAGCUGGUCCUCUAUGUGCUGGUCUUGGUCCUGUUCUGCGAUGAAGUGAGACAGUGGUACAUAAAUGGGGUGAAUUAUUUUACCGACCUGUGGAAUGUCAUGGACACGCUUGGGCUCUUUUACUUCAUAGCAGGAAUUGCAUUUCGGCUCCAGUCUUCUAAUAAAACCUCUCUGUAUUCCGGACGAGUCAUUUUUUGCCUGGAUUACAUUAUAUUCACUCUAAGGUUGAUCCACAUUUUUACUGUCAGCAGAAAUUUAGGACCCAAGAUUAUAAUGUUGCAGAGGAUGAUGGUCGAUGUGUUCUUCUUCCUGUUCCUCUUUGCCGUGUGGAUGGUGGCCUUUGGUGUGGCCAGGCAGGGGAUCCUCCGGCAAAAUGAGCACCGCUGGAGGUGGAUAUUCCGCUCGGUCAUCUAUGAGCCAUACCUGGCCAUGUUUGGCCAGGUGCCCAGCGACGUGGACGGCACCACGUACGACUUCUCCCACUGCACCUUCACUGGGAACGAGUCCAAGCCGCUGUGUGUGGAGCUGGACGAGCAGAGCCUGCCGCGCUUCCCCGAGUGGAUCACCAUCCCCCUGGUGUGCAUCUACAUGCUCUCCACCAACAUCCUGCUGGUCAACCUGCUGGUCGCCAUGUUCGGCUACACUGUGGGCACCGUCCAGGAGAACAACGACCAGGUCUGGAAAUUCCAGAGGUACUUCCUGGUGCAGGAGUACUGCAGCCGCCUGAACAUCCCCUUCCCCUUCGUCAUCUUCGCCUACUUCUACAUGGUGCUGAAGAAGUGCCUCAGCUGCUGCUGCAAGCACAGGAGCCCGGAGUCCUCUGCCUGCUGUUUCAAAAAUGAAGACAAGGAGACUCUGGCAUGGGAGGGUGUCAUGAAAGAAAAUUACCUUGUCAAGAUCAACACCAAAGCCAACGACACCUCAGAGGAAAUGAGGCACCGGUUUAGACAGCUGGAUACAAAGAUUAAUGAUCUCAAAGGUCUUCUGAAAGAGAUUGCUAAUAAAAUCAAAUAAAACUGCAUGGACUCUAAUGGAGAAAAUUCUAAUCAUAGCAAGCAUGUUUUUCGAGUGCCAGUAUCAAGAUGUGAAGAAAUGAAACAUGUGAGUGCCUUGAGGGCACGGCCCUGAUACUCCUUCCACAGAGGCCAGCUGCACCCCUGGCAUCAUGCCUGUGUGAAAAUCUGAACCCUUAAUUAAAUCAUUUGAAAUAAAUGACAUCGUUGCCUUGAAAGGACCCACUGUUUGAUGAGGGAGACAGAUGAGAGAACUCAAGAUGCUAAGCAGGGUGAAAGAGGCCAAAGACAGAGGAUGUCCCGGAGAGCCACCACGGGGCGCUGGGGGUGGGCCGGGGGUCAAGAACAGGGACAGGAAGCCGUGCAGGC